GUCAAUGUUCUUCUUCAAUGCUUGGCCAAUUCCAGUCUUGGACGAGUACAGAGUAUCAUCCAAAUCUAAAUAAAAAAUUAUACAGAAAUAUUCUCAAAUCACUCAACAUAUUAUCUCAACGAGGAAACGAAAUGAAAAGUAGGACUAUUAACUAUAAUUCACACAAUUCUAACAUGCGAUCAGGGAAAUAUUUUGAAAACAAAAUUCCUCUCUAACAGCUUAAAAUUAUAAAUGAUACAGUUCAGCAUAAACUGAUACUCUCUUUUCUAAUUUAUGUAAUACUAUUUUUUUAUUUAAACAUAAUUUAACUUUAAAUUUCUAUUUUAUUUAAUAUUUAUGAAUUAUUUUAUAUUAUAAGUUUUAAAAAAAUUUCUUUCUGUGCCGAGUCAAACAGUAUAGACAAGAUAGCAAGUGAGCAAAUGAACGUACCAAAAACAAUAGAAUCAAAAGGGGAAGAAGAAUCACGAGAAGAAUUGGAAUAUGAAUCCAUAUUGGAGAAGGACGAAUUGAACAAAACUGUAUAUAUAUAAUGAAACUACGCAAAUGUUAGCUGAAAGUAAUUCUUUCUGUUACGUGGAAGGAUGAGUACACGGAAGGGGCCU
rnacentral:lncRNA from 1 species